UAACUUUAUUAUCAGUAGUAACUGUCAGUUUCAACCAGCAGCAGUUAUCGCUCCCACCCUUUGAGGGUGGGGGCCCCGUGGCUAAUGCUGUCUUUAAGAAUACACAUCUGUGUACUUCCUGUUUCUUAGCUGAGAGAGGAGGCCUCAACAAUAUAAAGCGCAGGGAGCUGGGGAGCGGCAAGCCAGUGGGAAUGGGCACCUGGCCAUAAGUCAGAGAAGGGGAAGGAGAGUUACUUUAUUCUCUUCUGGUGCCAGUAAGAACUUUAUCAAGGUACUAGUGCCAUCAGCUCCUGCCCAAGGGCACCCAGGGCCCCAGGUCAGCAUGACGGAUUUAAGACACAUUACGUUCUGGGAAGACGGCUAGGAAGGGAGAUUGGAGACAGACAUGGGGAGAAGGCCAUGUGAAGACGGAGGCAGGAACUCCUGUGAUGCGGCCACAAGCCACAGAGGGCCUGGAGCCACCAGGAGCUGGAAGAGGCAGGAGGGAUCCUCCCCUAGCACCUGUGAAGGGAACAGGGUCCUGCCCACACCUUUAUUUUUGACUUUUGGCCUCCAGAAUUGUAACGAAU
rnacentral:lncRNA from 10 species